UACAGAGGUCCCGAGCGUUGUUCGGAUUCAUUGGGCGUAAAGGGUGUGUAGGCGGCUAGGUAAGUCAGGUGUGAAAUCUCACAGCUUAACUGUGAAACUGCGCUUGAUACUGCUUAGCUAGAGGAUCGGAGGGGGUAACGGAAUUCAUGGUGUAGCAGUGAAAUGCGUAGAUAUCAUGAGGAACACCGGUGGCGAAGGCGGUUACCUGGAAGAUUCCUGACUCUGAAACACGAAAGCCAGGGGAGCAAACGGG
rnacentral:rRNA from 1 species